rnacentral:rRNA from 1 species
UGCGUAGGUGGUAUGGCAAGUCAGAAGUGAAAACCCAGGGCUUAACUCUGGGACUGCUUUUGAAACUGUCAGACUGGAGUGCAGGAGAGGUAAGCGGAAUUCCUAGUGUAGCGGUGAAAUGCGUAGAUAUUGGGAGGAACAUCAGUGGCGAAGGCGGCUUACUGGACUGAAACUGACACUGAGGCACGAAAGCGUGGGGAGCAAACA